UGAGGAAUAUUGCGCAAUGGGGGAAACCCUGACGCAGCAACGCCGCGUGGAGGAUGAAGGUUUUCGGAUUGUAAACUCCUUAACUGGGGGAAGAGAGAGGACGGUACCCCAGGACGAAGACACGGCUAACUACGUGCCAGCAGCCGCGGUAAUACGUAGGUGUCGAGCGUUAUCCGGAAUUACUGGGCGUAAAGGGUACGCAGGCGGCGAUACAAGUCUAGCGUGAAAGCUUCCGGCUCAACUGGGAGAGGACGUUGGAAACUGUAUGGCUAGAGUGAAUGAGAGGGGGGCGGAAAUCCCGGUGUAGUGGUGGAAUGCGUAGAUAUCGGGAAGAACACCAGAGGCGAAGGCGGCCUCCUGGCAUUCGACUGACGCUGAGGUACGAAAGCGUGGGGAGCGAACGGGAUUAGAUACCCCCGUAGUCC
rnacentral:rRNA from 1 species